UGUGGUUUAAAGACUUCAAGCUGCUGAGCACAUUGUAUUGCUGGCAUCACACUAGUGAAUGACUGUAGCAUUUUGAGUACUAGCUACUUGCUGACCCUUCAACCAUACAAAUACACUGAAAUAA